GCCACGGUGGUCUAGCGGUCAGAACGCUGGCCUUGUAAUCCUGGGGUCCCGGGUUCAAUUCCCGGUGGUGCUC
rfam:Zootermopsis nevadensis contig1471, whole genome shotgun sequence.